CUUUGCUCGGCGGCUGCUGCUGCUCCUCCUCCUCCUCUUAAGGAAGUUUCCUCCCCUCUCUUCUUCAACCACCCGCGCCGCACUUCCCCUAUUUCGCAGGCUGCCCGCCCCAACUCCUGGGGAGGAAGGGCUGUUACCGUCACCCCCUUAUCUCGAGCGGGGCUGGGCUGGGCGCAGACCACCCCCCGGCCCCUCAGCGAGGCCGAAUGCCGGUGGCCGCCAAUUCGCCACCCCGCACGGUGCAGCAGCCCGACUCCCGCCCCUUCUCUGCCUCCGCCCGCCUCCGGGACCGGGACCCCGCCAAGCACCACCACCACCACCACCCUCCAGGGGCCGUCGGCGCCGACGAGCGCCAGGAGCCCCAUCGUCACGGCCAGGCCGGCGGGGAAGCGGCGGGGCGGACGGGCGGUAGUGGUGGCGGCAGAGCGGCGGCUCCUUCCGGCGCCCCUUCGCCACCCUCUUUGCUCGCCUUCUUGCCACCCUCGCCGCCGCUACGUCCCGCUGGGGGCCCUUCGCCGCCGCCGGAGCCCCCCAGGACUCGCUCCCGUUCUCGCUCCGGAUUCUUCAGCCUCCUCGCCAUGAACGGCGGCACCACCGCUACAACCGCCGCCGCCGCCGCUCACUUCCAGCCUCCGCCGCCUGCCCCACCGCAUCUCCAUGGGCCGAGCCUGCCCGAGUUAGGCGCCCGCAGCCAAGGCAGGGGCAGCCCCGCUGGACACGGGCACCCUCGAGCCCCGCCGGGUGCCCGGGCGCCCGCACCAGGUGGUAUUGGUGCUUCCUUCCAGUGCCAGCUGAUCCAUCAAGACCACAUCUGUACUGAUGACAGUGACAAGAGCGAAGAUAGUCCAAGUCCCAAGAGACAGCGCCUUUCUCAUUCAGUCUUUGACUACGCAGCAGCAUCACCAGCCCCAUCACCACCAAUGCGACCAUGGGAGAUGACAUCAAAUAGGCAGCCUCCUUCAGCUCGACCAAGCCAACAUCACUUCUCAGGGGAACGAUGCAACACACCUGCGCGCAACAGAAGGAGCCCUCCUGUUAGACGCCAGAGAGCAAGAAGAGAUCGACUGUCUCGACAUAAUUCCAUUAGUCAAGAUGAAAACUACCAUCUUCCUUAUGGACAGCAACAAGCAAUAGAAGAACCACGAGCCUUUCAUCCACCAAAUGUGUCUCCCCGUAUGUUGCACCCAGCUGCUCAUCCGCCACAGCAGAAUGCAGUCAUGGUUGACAUCCAUGAACAGAUUCACCAGGGCACGGUCCCCGUUUCAUAUACAGUGACCACAGUAGCCCCACAUGGGAUCCCACUUUGCACAGGCCAGCACAUACCAGCUUGCAAUACGCAGCAGGUCCCAGGGUGUUCUGUGGUUUUCAGUGGGCAGCACCUUCCGGUCUGCAGUGUGCCUCCUCCAAUGCUUCAAGCUUGUUCUGUUCAACAUUUGCCGGUUCCAUAUGCAGCUUUCCCACCCCUCAUUUCUAGUGAUCCAUUUCUCUUACAUCCUCCACACCUCUCCCCACACCAUGCUCCACAUUUGCCACCUCCAGGCCAGUUUGUUCCUUUUCAGACACAGCAAUCGCGAUCGCCUCUCCAAAGGAUAGAAAAUGAAGUAGAGUUACUUGGAGAUCAUCUUCCCGUAGGAAGUUUUACCACCUAUCCACCUUCAGCCCAUCCACCAACAUUGCCUCCCUCAGCUCCCCUUCAGUUCCUAGCGCAUGACCCUUUACAUCAAGAGAUGUCAUUUGGAGUACCUUAUCCACCCUUUAUGCCUCGAAGACUCACAGGGCGCAGUCGAUAUCGAUCUCAGCAACCAAUUCCACCUCCCCCUUACCAUCCCAGCCUAUUGCCAUAUGUGCUAUCAAUGCUUCCUGUGCCACCUGCCGUUGGGCCCGCCUUCAGUUUUGAGCUGGAUGUAGAAGAUGGUGAAGUAGAAAACUAUGAGGCACUGCUAAAUUUGGCAGAAAGACUGGGUGAGGCCAAACCAAGGGGAUUGACAAAAGCAGAUAUUGAACAACUUCCGUCUUAUAGGUUCAACCCAAAUAACCAUCAGUCAGAACAGACUUUGUGUGUAGUAUGCAUGUGUGACUUUGAGUCAAGGCAACUGCUUAGAGUUUUACCAUGUAACCAUGAGUUCCAUGCCAAGUGUGUCGACAAAUGGCUUAAGCUGGUGUCGCCAGAAAUAGAUGUAAGAACAACAGCAUUCUGCAAAACAUAAAUUCAUGAGGAAAUUGGAAAUUUCAGAUGAUGCCUUAACUUCUAUUGUAUCACUACAACGGCAAAUCGUACCUGCCCUAUCUGCAGAGCUGAUGCUUCAGAAGUGCAUCGUGAUUCAGAAUGACCAGUCUAAGAGCACAAUUCUACUUUGGGUGUUCCUAGUCACAUGUGUGUAUAUAUAUAUAUGAACUCUCCAUUGAACUUAACCCAUGUGGCUUCCAGCCUUCCCUUUACACAAAAGGGUCAAUGGACCUUUCUUUGCACUGUGUGAUUUAAUCAACUAUAAAGCUUAUAAUUAGUCUUCACAAUUAUGGGAUUGUUAUACUAACUGUGUGAUUGGAACUCCAAAGAUUUUUUUUUCUUUUAGCUUAAUUUCGUGUGUGCACUAACAUUCCCUGGUUUUUGUGUGAUCAUUCCGAGUGUUGCUGCGAGAUUACAGUGGAACGUGAUCUUCUAGCAUGUGCUUUUAUAUAAAAAGUGGUAGCUCCAAACAAUAUAGCAAUCUACCUUAUAUAGAGCCUUCAAAUACUGUGAGUGAGAAUAAAUGGUGCGGGUGGGUGCGUUGAUCGCAGGAUGUCUGUUAUGUAUGCAGGCGAGCAAGAGUUUGGCGAUAGCGUGUGAGAGGACUUAUAUACCAGCAUGUACUGAGGAUGUAUGUGUGUAGUAUUAAUUAUGCUGCAAUGUAUAAUCUUGUGUGUUAUUUAAACAGUACUAGUACUGUACACUGGUUUCUUUCCUUGCGUUUGCAGUUGCACACUGAAUGCAAAGGGUGCAGCAAUUAUAGACAUUUGAUAUUUCAUCCCCCAUGUAUUUAAUAGUAUAAAAGGUCCUUUUUGCUUUUAUUCAGAUAACUAUUAUGCUUCCCAUUAAUUGGGAGUCCUAUAUCUGUCAUUAUAGAGCAUAUUGAUUCUCAGUUACAAUUAAUUAGCCUUAAUUUUAGGCUGCUGGAAUUUUUACAUUUUUAAAAAAAAAAAAACUUGCAGCUCACUGCUAACUGUAUAAGGAGUUGCAGCAUUGCACAGUCAGGUAGCAAUAUUAAAAAUUCUCAACUGAUAACAGAAAAGCUGAUUGUCCUCUCUCUUUUUUUAAAUUCUUCCAAUCAAUAUUGGUUCUUUUUGAUUGAACUUUGGAAUACAUUGUUUUUAAAUUUUAGAGAGAGAACUUUGUUUUGAGAGUUUUUUUAAUUUUUUGUCUUUAAAUACCGAAACCGAGAGGAUCUUCAAAUCUUGUGCAAAUGCUUCUUGUAUUGUUGGCAAUAUAUUUGCUUAAAUAUACAGAUACACUGGCACUAAUUCACAUUCCUUGCCAUAUACAAGCUAGAGUAUACAAUUAAAUACCUUUUAAAAAUUUUUUUCCUUUUUCAAAGCCUUCAGUUUUGUGAACAAAGUAAACCCUUAGCACUUUCUUAGAGAUAGAACAUUGUGGUUCUCCAUCUUAGCCAUGGUACCAUGUUCACCUUCUACUGCCUGGCAAGUGUCACAAAUGCAGUUUCUAGCUUGCUACCCUGGGUAGCGAGAUUUUGUGUGGAUGUUAAAGCAUCCUCAGUAUUGUAUGGAUAGUAUGAAGAAUAUUCAUGGUCAAGAAUGGGCGGGUAUACGAAAUCAAGAAAAAAAACCUAAAUGCUGUGAAUUUGGAGUUGACCUCCUUUCAACUGCCUUCUGAAUAAUGUAGUGGUAAAAUUGGCAUCACUUAACAUUCUGGACUUGGUGUUUAAUUUUUUUUUACAACAAAGGAAACAGUUGUCUACCCAUGGCUACAUGAUUCUCCAAGAGAGGAACAUUUAUUUCUGGAUUUCAUUCAUAAGCGCCAAAACCUUUGAUUGCAACGGCACAAGCGCUGCAGCUAUCGCUGCGAAUCAGCUUUCUGGAUCUUGUGUGUCUUUUCUGAUGCUUUAUAUGCUGCUAUAUAUUGAAUCUCUUUAUUCCUCCAGAACAGUGUUGGUUGUGAAUCAUUCUCCUUUCUCAAAGCUCUGGUGACUAAUCGCAGUGUGUGGUUCUACAAAUUAAAAAAAAGCACAAUUCCCACCAACCUUCCUUGUUUCAGAUACGGUUUGCCUCUGUUUAGUAACUUAGACGCCUUAGUCUGUCCAUAGUGUCAGGAACUGUAAUCUGUGUGACAGAUUUUACAUGUUACAAUUUUUCUCUUCAAUGUGCUCUAAGAAAUUGUCUCUGUGUGUUGAAAAGUUUAAAUUAUUGCACAUGGUAAAUUUUAUUUUUUUAAGCAAACAAAAUCAUGGGUUGGGAAGUGGGAGGGAAGCCACACAUGUUUUACAGAAACUCUGGAUCUUUUUUAUAUUGCUGGAUUUUCAAAAAAAGAAAAAGAAAAAAGAAAAAAUUACCAGGCAGAAUUACCAUAAUACUACCCUGCUCAUUGUCCGCUGAGUACCCACUCAGUGUAAACCUUGCUUUGGUAAAAGUAAAAGACGUUUUCUGGAACACAGUGAUGAGGCUCAUUAGUAUCUUAUUUCUGAGAAAGGGCUUUCCAGCCCUGCAUCUGAACCAAUAUUGCAGUGCAGCGUCUGUCCCUUGAAUCCCUGUUUCGUUUGAAGGACACUGUUGAUGGAGGGAUAGGACUGCAGGAGGGGAACUAUUCUGGUAGCAUACUCAAGUUAAUUGUUGCACUCUUGUGGCAGAUCUUUUUUGAAUGACUGGUUCGCUUGGGACUCUUGCAAAUGUGUGCAGGUUUGCUUCCUGUGGUUAGGUUUGUGUGAGGCACAUGUGCAUGUGUUUUGAACCAAUUCAAAGCCAGCUGCAGUGGAAUUCUGAACCCAUUGUGGCUGGCAGACGAGAGGGGGAGAUCACUCUUCACAGUUAACUGCCAUGCAUUGUGCACAUUGACACAUCUAAUUUUACAGCCCUUGAUGCCUGACAGCACCUAAUUAUACUAUUGGGUAGCCUCUUCUCCCUUAUCCCUACCUCUCCCUAAUGGAAAAAAAAAUAAA